rnacentral:rRNA from 1 species
GAUGAACGCUAGCGGCAGGCUUAACACAUGCAAGUCGAGGGGUAUAGUUCUUCGGAACUAGAGACCGGCGCACGGGUGCGUAACGCGUAUGCAAUCUACCUUUUGCAGAGGGAUAGCCCCAGAGAAAUUUGGAUUAAUACCUCAUAGUAUAGCAGUUUCGCAUGAAACCACUAUUAAAGUCACAACGGCAAAAGAUGAGCAUGCGUCCCAUUAGCUAGUUGGUAAGGUAACGGCUUACCAAGGCUACGAUGGGUAGGGGUCCUGAGAGGGAGAUCCCCCACACUGGUACUGAGACACGGACCAGACUCCUACGGGAGGCAGCAGUGAGGAAUUUUGGACAAUGGGCGCAAGCCUGAUCCAGCAAUGCCGCGUGCAGGAUGAAGGCCUUCGGUUGUAAACUGCUUUGUACGGAACGAAACGGUGAGCUCUAAUACAGUUUGUCUAAUGUACGGUACCGUAAGAAUAAGCACCGGCUAACUACGUAGCCAG